CCACCGAUUUGAAAGACACCGCUUGUUCUUUCAAUUUUCAAGGUUUUGAUUCAAUCAUACUUCAUAUGUCUCGAAAUUGUUUGGGCUCGCACAAGAAAGUGAUGUUCGAGGAUUUCAAGAAAUUUGAAAAUGCAAGUGUGAAGGAAUAUGUACACGUUUGUGUUAAUG